rnacentral:rRNA from 1 species
AUUGAACGCUGGCGGCAGGCCUAACACAUGCAAGUCGAGCGGAGCGGCGGACGGGUGAGUAAUGCCUAGGAAUCUGCCUGGUAGUGGGGGAUAACGUCCGGAAACGGGCGCUAAUACCGCAUACUAUCAGAUGAGCCUAGGUCGGAUUAGCUAGUUGGUGGGGUAAAGGCCUACCAAGGCGACGAUCCGUAACUGGUCUGAGAGGAUGAUCAGUCACAGUGGAACUGAGACACGUUCCAGAUCCUUAGGGGAGGAAGCAGUGGGGAGUAGUGGAAAAUGGGGGAAAGCCUGACCCAGCCAUGCCGGGUGGGGGAAGAAGGUCUCCGGAUGGUAAAGCACUUUAAGUGGGGGGGCUUUCCCAACAGAAUAAGCACCGGCUAACUCCGUGCAAGCAGCCGCGGUAAUUC